rnacentral:lncRNA from 1 species
UAAAAUCCAUGCCAAUCAUUCAAUAAUUAAAAACAUGUUUUAACGUCAAAUGAAUAAAAUUCAAGAUUAAGGGUUCAUAAUAUAAGGUUCAUCGCAAAUCCUAGCACAAAAUAAUUUCGCCUAACAUAAGGUGAAAAUUAAACAAAGAAAAGUGGAAGAAUAUCACCAAAAAUGGAUCAAACGUAAUUAAUUCUCGCAAUUUUAUUUGGCUGCCGUCUUUUUCCUCUUCAGUUUAUGAUUUCCCCCUCUGCUUGCCUCGGGUCAUGGGUAUAUAUAAAUCCAUGCAGCCACAAGUUAAUUCCCACCGUCUGCCCAAUUUUAUUGCCAAUUGAAGAGUCCAAUUCCAGCAGCCACUUACAUGAAAUGCAUGAUCAUAUGUGUAGACAAGAUUUGGUGAAUAAUUUUGACCAUCCAAUGACAAUCAGCUGCCCAAUUCUGUGGGUAUUUUCUCUAUAAAAAAUCAGCUUUUGCAAUCCACUAGCAUACCCUAGCAACUGCCGACUUUUUCUCACUGAAGCACUCAAUUUUCGGCUUCUCCCCCUUUU